GGCGCCGUGGCUUAGUUGGUUAAAGCGCCUGUCUAGUAAACAGGAGAUCGUGGGUUCGAAUCCCACCGGUGCCU
rfam:Ixodes scapularis strain Wikel colony gcontig_1108378637882, whole genome shotgun sequence.